AGUGAACGCUGGCGGUAGGCCUAACACAUGCAAGUCGAACGGCAGCACAGUAAGAGCUUGCUCUUACGGGUGGCGAGUGGCGGACGGGUGAGGAAUACAUCGGAAUCUACUUUGUCGGGGGGGAUAACGGAGGGAAACUGACGCUAAUACCGCAUACGACCUACCGGUGAAAGCAAGAGAGCAUCGGACCUUUCGCGACAGAAUGAGCCGAAGUCGGAUUAGCUAGUUGGCAAGGUAAAGGACCACCAAGGCAACGAUCCGUAGCUGACCUGAGAGGAUGAUCGGCCACACUGGAACUGAGACACGGUCCAGACUCCUACGGGAGGCAGCAGUAGGGAAUCUUCCGCAAUGGGCGAAAGCCUGACGGAGCAACGCCGCGUGAGUGAUGAAGGUCUUCGGAUCGUAAAACUCUGUUAUUAGGGAAGAACAAAUGUGUAAGUAACUAUGCCCGUCUUGACGGUACCUAAUCAGAAAGCCACGGCUAACUACGUG
rnacentral:rRNA from 1 species